CAUGUCGAAAGUGAAAGUUUAGAGGUUCAGUAUUUAGUCUCUGUGAGCAGCAGAGAGAGUCAGAGAGUCUGAACUCAGACUGUGAACACACACAGAGCUCGGGAGAGAAAUAACUCUCUCUGAAUGGGAAAAUAUCUCCUUUAAUAAUCCAUAACCAGCUAUGGGCAAAUCUUCAAAAUCAACCAUGAAUGCUGUAUUUGCUGUGCAACUGUUCAUUCUGGUUUGGACCUUUACUGCUGUCUGUCAAGAUGAUGAAGAUGUCAGUGUAAGCUGUGAUGAUGUGAC